rnacentral:snoRNA from 1 species
UAUCUUUUUCCUUAUUAUGCAUUCUCUUGGCGAGUGAUCGAAAAUAUAUAUGAUGAUAUCCUAUAACAACAACAACAUGAAUUUCUUCGUCCGAAUCCU